CGGCCUACACAUGCAGUCGAUCGGAAACGAGUUAUCUGAACCUUCGGGGAACGAUAACGGCGUCGAGCGGCGGACGGGUGAGUAAUGCCUAGGAAAUUGCCCUGAUGUGGGGGAUAACCAUUGGAAACGAUGGCUAAUACCGCAUAACGCCUACGGGCCAAAGAGGGGGACCUUCGGGCCUCUCGCGUCAGGAUAUGCCUAGGUGGGAUUAGCUAGUUGGUGAGGUAAUGGCUCACCAAGGCGACGAUCCCUAGCUGGUCUGAGAGGAUGAUCAGCCACACUGGAACUGAGACACGGUCCAGACUCCUACGGGAGGCAGCAGUGGGGAAUAUUGCACAAUGGGCGCAAGCCUGAUGCAGCCAUGCCGCGUGUGUGAAGAAGGCCUUCGGGUUGUAAAGCACUUUCAGUCGUGAGGAAGGUAGUGUAGUUAAUAGCUGCAUUAUUUGACGUUAGCGACAGAAGAAGCACCGGCUAACUCCGUGCCAGCAGCCGCGGUAAUACGGAGGGUGCGAGCGUUAAUCGGAAUUACUGGGCGUAAAGCGCAUGCAGGUGGUUUGUUAAGUCAGAUGUGAAAGCCCGGGGCUCAACCUCGGAAUUGCAUUUGAAACUGGCAGACUAGAGUACUGUAGAGGGGGGUAGAAUUUCAGGUGUAGCGGUGAAAUGCGUAGAGAUCUGAAGGAAUACCGGUGGCGAAGGCGGCCCCCUGGACAGAUACUGACACUCAGAUGCGAAAGCGUGCGGAGCAAACAGGAUUAGAUACCCUGGUAGUCCACGCCGUAAACGAUGUCUACUUGGAGGUUGUGGCCUUGAGCCGUGGCUUUCGGAGCUAACGCGUUAAGUAGACCGCCUGGGGAGUACGGUCGCAAGAUUAAAACUCAAAUGAAUUGACGGA
rnacentral:rRNA from 1 species